UACGGAGGGUGCGAGCGUUGUCCGGAAUCACUGGGCGUAAAGGGCGCGUAGGUGGUCUGGUAAGCGUGCGGUGAAAUCGCGGGGCUCAACCCCGCGCCGGCCGUGCGAACUGCUGGACUGGAGCACUGUAGAGGCGGGUGGAAUUCCGGGUGUAGCGGUGGAAUGCGUAGAGAUCCGGAAGAACACCGGUGGCGAAGGCGGCCCGCUGGGCAGUGGCUGACACUGAGGCGCGACAGCGUGGGGAGCAAACAGG
rnacentral:rRNA from 1 species